rnacentral:tRNA from 1 species
GCAAAAAGUUAUAGAGCAUCAGACUUUUAAUCUGAGGGUCCAGGGUUCAAGUCCCUG